GCGUUAUCCGGAUUCACUGGGUUUAAAGGGUGCGUAGGUGGGCAAGUAAGUCAGUGGUGAAAUCUCCGGGCUUAACCCGGAAACUGCCAUUGAUACUAUUUGUCUUGAAUACUGUGGAGGUCAGCGGAAUAUGUCAUGUAGCGGUGAAAUGCUUAGAUAUGACAUARAACACCAAUUGCGAAGGCAGCUGACUACACAAAUAUUGACACUGAGGCACGAAAGCGUGGGGAUCAAACAGGAUUAGAUACCCUGGUAGUCCACGCCCUAAACUAUGGAUACUCGACAUUUGCGAUAAACUGCAAGUGUCUGAGCGAAAGCAUUAAGUAUCCCACCUGGGAAGUACGAUCGCAAGAUUG
rnacentral:rRNA from 1 species